UGCCAGCCGCCGCGGUAAUACGGAGGGUGCAAGCGUUGUUCGGAUUUACUGGGCGUAAAGGGCGCGUAGGCGGUUUUCCAAGCCAAGGGUGAAAUCCCGGAGCUCAACUCCGGAACUGCUCUUGGAACUGGGAGACUAGAGACAAGCAGAGGCAGGUGGAAUUCCAGGUGUAGAGGUGAAAUCCGUAGAUAUUCGAAGGAACACCAGUGGCGAAGGCGGCUUUCUGGACCGAUACUGACGCUGAGACGCGAAAGCGUGGGGAGCAAACAGGAUUAGAUA
rnacentral:rRNA from 1 species